rnacentral:rRNA from 1 species
ACUCCUACGGGAGGCAGCAGUAGGGAAUCUUCCACAAUGGACGAAAGUCUGAUGGAGCAACGCCGCGUGAGUGAAGAAGGGUUUCGGCUCGUAAAACUCUGUUGUUAAAAGAAAGAACAUAUCUGAGAGUAACUGUUCAGGUAUUGACGGUAUUUAACCAGAAAGCCACGGCUAACUACGUGCCAGCAGCCGCGGUAAUACGUAGGUGGCAAGCGUUGUCCGGAUUUAUUGGGCGUAAAGCGAGCGCAGGCGGUUUUUAAGUCUGAUGUGAAAGCCUUCGGCUCAACCGAAGAAGUGCAUCGGAAACUGGGAAACUUGAGUGCAGAAGAGGACAGUGGAACUCCAUGUGUAGCGGUGAAAUGCGUAGAUAUAUGGAAGAACACCAGUGGCGAAGGCGGCUGUCUGGUCUGUAACUGACGCUGAAGCUCGAAAGUAUGGGUAGCAAACAGGAUUAGAUACCCUGGUAGGAUAGCG